GUGAAUCAUCAAAUUUUUGAACGCAAAUUGCGCCUUUUUCGGAAGGCAUGUCUGUUUGAGGGCCCCAUUUAACAAAUAAUGUGCACCGUUUUGUGUGUGCACACGUUGAUGAGCUUUCCAGGAAAAAUUUUUUUUUUUUUUUUUUUUUGGUGGCGCAUAAUAAAAAGGGGGAAGGCUUUUUUUUCAGUUGGAGU
rnacentral:misc_RNA from 1 species